CAAAAUCUGAGUUUGAUCCUGGCUCAGAAGGAACGCUAGCUAUAUGCUUAACACAUGCAAGUCGAACGUUGUUUUCGGGGAGCUGGGCAGAAGGAAAAGAGGCUCCUAGCUAAAGUUGUCUCGCCCUGCUUCAAAUCUACAGGGCGCGCGCUACGGCUUUGACCUAACGGCCUCCGUUUGCUGGAAUCGGAAUAGUUGAGAACAAAGUGGCGAACGGGUGUGGUAAACGCGUGGAAUCUGCCCCGA
rnacentral:ncRNA from 1 species